AUAAUACCUUAUUUACAGAAUAGAAAUGCUCCAAUUAAAUAUUGAAUAAAAGAAUCUCUAACAAGCCAAGAACCAAGAAGCCAAAACACUUGCACUCUUUCCUCUUAUGGUCAUUAUUUCCUUUUUGAAAAUGGUGCAUAUCCUACACUUUUUUUUUCUUGUAAUUUACUACAAAAAAGUGUAUCAAGGGAAUAGGCCUUUUGUCCUUAUAUAGUUUUGUGUUGCAACUCUUGGUUAUAUUGCAAUUCUUGGUUAUAUUGCAUGGAAGAUAAGGUCACCUUCGGCCAAUAGCUAUGUCCUUUAGCAAAGCAAUCAGCCCAUAGAU
rnacentral:misc_RNA from 1 species